UUGUAGUACAUGGUGCUAAUUAACGCCCAGCAGUAAUAGCCGUGUAAGACCUCACGCAUGCACCUUACGCUUACGCUGCUCAUGGCUUCCUUUUUAUUGACUUUCAACUCCGUAAUCUGACUCUUUAUCUGUUGUUAAAAGUGGUGGCAAGAAACCCAAUCCUAUUUCAGUUAUCUGGCUGUAAUCAUCGACCUGACCGCUGUCCAGUCCUGUUCUCUGGUGACCUGACACCACUCCUGCGUAAUUCGCCUGCUACCCUUGCCGAAUGGCCGGACGCGACUCCUGCGAGUUACCUACAGCCAUUGGGAACAUACACGGAACAAGCAUAAAGCCACCUUGAAGCUAAAACAAGACCAAGAACUGUCUCAGGACACACGGGCAGCCUCGAUGGACUUCGGUGGUUCUGCUGUGCGGAAACGUUGGCGAUCUUCCACAUUAUCUGCUCUUCUGCCAUCUGUCAGUGACAACUACCAUCAAUCCCAGGCAGACACUAGCUAAAUACCAUCGAAAACGCACUUCACAGCUGCUACAACUCUUACCAAUCACACUAUCAAACAAAUGCCUGCAGCUGUUGAGGGAAAAAAAAAAACACCUUGGGGUCCCUGCAGCUUCAUAAGCCAGCAAGGUUCAACCAUCCUCUCAUCGCCAUUCAGAAUAAAACAGCGAGAAGUUGGAGUGCGAUCAUCAGCCGCAGCAGAAACGAUUUUAAGAGAGGCCUCUUCAACUUUAUAGCCGCCAUGCCUGCCGCAACUUGGACAACAGGAUAGCAAAUGCACAUCAGCUGCUCACGCAAGAUGUUGAGAGGUUUUGUAACAGCGUGGUGAACCAGUAUUCAAACUUAAGCAAGCUAUUUUUGGAUAUCGUUCUGUAUAUUGUCAAGCUGACAAAUGCUCAGGUAAGUUUUUGUAUGACUAGGGCUUCUUUAACAACACAAGUCACGAAUAUUGAUGAAUUACAUCAAUUGUGCAAAGAGCAGAGGGCCAAAAUCCCGGUCAGAUUGAACAGUUAGACUGUGGUUAUUACUGCUGUGGUCAUCGUGAUAUAACCAGGUCUCCCCCCCCCCCCCCACACACACACUCACACUCAUGUUAUCUGAAUUUUUCAUAAUGUAGAAAAUCAGCCAGGACAAAUCAUUCUUCACAUGCUGAUAUAUAUUUUUUUUUACUUGCAUCCGAGUCAAAAAAUUAUAUUAUACGCACAUGGAUUAUUUUUAAGAGUUUAGAAACAUAGAAAGUGACGGCAGAUAAGAACCAGAAGGCCCAUCCAGUCUGCCCAACCUCUGAGUACUCUCCUUUAGUACUUGCCCUUAUCCUAUAUCUAGCUUGGCAUUAUGCCUAUCCCACGCUUGCUUAAAUGACUAUACUGUAUUAACAUCUACCACUUCCACUGGGAGGCUAUUCCAUGCGUCCACUACCCUUUCCGUAAAGUAAUAUUUUCUGAUGUUACCAUUAAACCUUUGCCCCUCUAGUUUAUGCUUGUGUCCUCUUGUUGCGGUUUUAUUUCUCCUUUUAAAUAAACUUUCUUCCUUUA